rnacentral:lncRNA from 1 species
UUAUCAAUAAGCACCAGAAAAAGAACCAUGAGAAUACUACAAUCUAGGAACGCAUCUGGUACACUUCCCCAAAGGAAGAAGGAAGGAAAACAUGUGACCUGCCAAGGUGGAAUCGGCAGAGUGCUAGGAGAUGACACGAUCAUUGCACAUCAGAGGAUUGCCUGGGCAACUUCAACUUGGGAGGGAGUCCAGGACUUUCUCUGGGGAAUGUCCACCCACUUGGCCAUCUACACAAGAUAUAAGAGAUGAAAGCCAGGAUAAUCUAACAGGAAAGAAACCAGUGUCUAGAGAGAAUGUAGCAGGCCAUUCAAAGUUCGAGGAGAAAGUUAGAAACCGACGAGAAAUCCAGAAAAAGGAAUACUAUCCUACCUGGAAAGGGGGAGGAGUCAGACUGGUCUGAGAUGGCUCUGAAACUCUGUGUGCAUGGAGGCUGUCAGGACAACUUAGAAUUUUGAGGUUGUUUAUGACAUCAUGGUGAACAUGGCCCCCAAGGUGGCCGCAUGGUUACAGUCUGAGGAUUGGCCUAGGCUAGGCUGUUAAAGGGAGAGAUACCCAGAAAGAGGUUUGACAAACAGAAAGCAGGCACAGAAACUGGAAGAAAUAAAACAGACUCUGAUUCAAGGGAUAAGAAAGGAAACCUUGGCGAGAAGCUAGAAUAGAGGGACAAGCAGUGAGAGGAGAACAUUGUCAUCUAUUCAAGUCUAUGGGGGAGGCCAUGCUGAUUCAAGUUUGAAACUUGAUUGGAAACAAGAGGCCGGACUUUGGCCUUAUCAGACCUACGUUGUCUUUCCGCCUUAAGCAUAAUCCAAAGUCAAGAAUGAUGUCUUGAGGACAUUGAAGAGAAGAAUCGACGCCUCCUUUCCUAGGCGCCUAGCAUUCUUUGAAGAUCAGUCUCACUUUCCAUAGCUCUGGCGUCACAGGGGCCCACUGGGUACAUGCUAAUGUGUCCCAAGAGAUGUCUUGGAAGCCUUGAAGGAAUGGACCCCUGUCAUGCUUGGGGUAUGUCUCUUUGUUUGGAAGGGCUCUACAUGAGUGCUGAAAAUCCCCCUUUUCCAGAGGGCUUCGUUCCUUUGUGAAGGCUGCCCUCCCAGGCUAGAGUGCUCAGUUUGGCUCCAAUGAAAUUCUCUCCCCCUACCUCUUGCCGUAGAAGGAUUAUUGAUUAUGUGUUUUGACGCCAUAUGUAAGGAAGUUGGCUGAAAAUUAGAACAUUACAAUUCUGUUUCAAGAAAAAUAAAUAUGCCAGGGCUGAGGACGUAAGUCAAAGAAAUGGCACAGCCUAUAGAAAUAAAGUAAGCCCGUAUAUAGGCGGAGUCUAGGGGAACGUUCAAGGAUCAGGG